AGAAUAGGACACGGUCUGUUUGGUUGUUUCUUCUCCGAAGCUUCCCCUAUUUCGACUUCCCCCAAACCCCCCUAAAGAGGGCCAAAUCCACUCAAAGCAACCUAAAAUUCGUUCCAAGAUUAUCAGUUAUGACAGGAAGAUAGGGGAUAGAUAUUCUUUAUCUGAUAAUUUCUCCCUGCUGGUCUGAGAUUUGUAGAGAUUUGGUUUAUCGAAAGUGAGCUUUCUUCCAUUAUAUAUUGUUGGAUUAAUUGCAUGUCUUAGUAGUGGAAGUUAGGCAAGGGCGUGGAAGGGAAGAAUAGUAAGAUGGGUGAAGCCUGGGCUGGUAGAUACUGGUGCUAUGCCUGUUCCGAGGUGGUCCAUCCAGUCAUUGAAGUGGAGCCUAAGUGCCCCCUUUGUGAUAGUGGAUUUGUGGAAGAAAUGGAUGGCAGAGGGGACACAGACACUGAUUCUGAUCUUGAAUCCAACCGCGCCCUCUCUCUAUGGUCUUCCAUCUUGCUUGGAAUGAUGGGAGGUUUUUCGCGGCGUUCAAGAUUGCGAAGGGAAGAGGAAGAUGAUGAUUCAGAUCAUGAAUUUGAAGAUUUCCUGCGGAGGAGGCGGCGGAGCUCUGCCAUACUUCAGCUGCUCCAAAGCCUUCGGGAUGAUAUUAGGUUGGAGUCUGACAACCCAGAGAGCGAAAGGGAGAGGGAGAGGGAGAGGGAAAGAGAAAGAGAAAGCGUGAUCCUCAUCAAUCCUUUUAACCAAGCCAUAAUUCUCCAAGGAGCAUUUGAUUCUGACCAGAACCAAAGCCGAGACUCGAGCAACACCAGUGCUGGUGCUUCAUUGGGGGACUACUUUGUUGGGCCUGGUUUAGAUCUAUUGUUGCAUCAUUUGGCAGAGAAUGACCCAAACAGAUAUGGCACACCACCAGCUCAGAAAGAGGCAGUUAAUGCUUUGCCUACUGUAAAAGUUGAGGAAAAUAUGAGCUGUUCAGUCUGUUUGGAGGAUGUUGCUAUUGGGACAGAGGUUAAGGAGAUGCCAUGCAAACACAAAUUUCAUAAUGGGUGUAUAUUGCCAUGGCUGGAGCUCCAUAGUUCAUGCCCUGUUUGCAGGUUUCAGCUGCCUGCUGAUGAAUCAAAGGUUUCAAAUGGGUCUAGAAACGGUGAUAGUAGGGUGGAAGGAAGUGGUGGGAGUGGUGGUGAUGAGGAUGAUAGAGAUGGUGAUAGAUUCUGGCUUCCUGUCGCGUGGCCUUUUAAUGGGCUGUUCCCGUUGUCAGGGUCUGAGAAUGGUAGCAAUUCUUCCUCAAAUUCACCAUCAUCAACUGCUUCCGGAAGUGACUCACAUUCUGAGGAGAACUGAACAUGUGCUCUUAAUGGCUUGAGAGUAGUAGAGGAAAUGAGGGCAGAUUCUGGGUUCCGAUCUGGUGGGCUUUUUAUGGUUUUGUUAUCAUUGUCAAUAAUUGCAUAGUGGAUGAAGUUCAUCCUCGACUACAUCCACGUCUGGAAGUAACUCCUAUGUAGAUGGGAACUGAAGAUGUUUCUUUAAUGGUUAUCAUCUUUAUGUUUUAUCCUGUCCUUCUGUACAUUGGGACAAGUUUCUUCUCUUUAGGUUCUUCCAAAGCUUCCUGCCUUUCUUUGUGUUUGAAGUAUGAUAUCUGUUGUAAUUGGAAUGUAAUUAUGCUCUGUCAGGUUUUUAACUUUAAGUAGGUUGAAGAAGUAUAAUAGGAGAGACGGGUCUGGACUGUCAAGUCUCUGUGAAGGAUUUGGGGUUUUGUUUGAUUUUCUUGCAUGUGCUUCUGAAGCAGGUAUCUCUUAGUUAUGGAAAUCCUAGUUGCAGAGAUUUAUUCAUGUCAGUGGUUGCUUUUAGGAUUGUUUUUGCAGCUCAAAUUCAUGGAUUAUGGUUGAAAUACGGAUGUACCUCUUAUGAGUCCCAGAGACUGCAGGGUUGUCAUGGACGCAGAAGAUCUGCCGGAAAAAUAUUUUGCAGCGUCUUGGAGGAAACAAAUAUUUGAGUAUUGUUUAUGAUAAAUAAUGUGCCAACGGAUCUAAUAGCAAGCUGCUAGAAUAUGGUUUGUGCUUGUUGUUCUCGGUCAACCUCCUCCUCCUCCUUCAUCCACUCACACUAAUUAUCCAGGAUCAAUUUUUUGGGGAUGCACCAUCUGAUAAUCGAAUCGAGAACUUCUGGUUGCUAAGCAGAAGGUUGACUGCUGGGGCAAAUCCCAAUUCUAAAAAACAACUUGAUUGGUUGCAAGGAUUAAAUGGAAAGCAUUUUCCAGAUAUACGAGGAGCUGAAUUUGUUUGGGGUAUGGAGGCUGGGGGAGUUUGCCCAUCAACCAAACAGAAUUUGCUGCGUGAAGUGGCAGCCUUAGGAUGGUGGUCUUGUCAUUUAUGAAAUUAACAUUUGCCACCAGGAUUACUUUGGCCUCUGAAGGAGAGGUUAAAACUGAUAAAAGCUAUUGCUAUUUUCUUGUGUAGCAUAAAUCAGUGCAUAGAAAUGCAUCGUUUCAUGUGAUUAAGAAUUUUUAGUCUAUUCUCAAAGAUUCUGCCACCAGGUGGUACUGCUAGUGCUUGAUUAUUGGUCGAGAUCUCUCUCUCAGUUUGACCAACCUUCGAUGCUUGAUGAUCUUUACAUCGUGCAUCUAUCUUUGUAGGAUUACUUCGGCCUAUGAAGGAGAGCCUAAAGCUAAAGAUUGCUGGUGAUUUUCUUA